UCAAACUUGGUCAUUUAGAGGAAGUAAAAGUCGUAACAAGGUUUCCGUAGGUGAACCUGCGGAAGGAUCAUUACCAGUUCCGGCCAAGACCCCCUGCGGGCUAGGCUACUGAACUUACACCCUGGCCCGGAAAUCGCCUCCCGCAGCCGGAGAACCUAACAAUUCCCCGGCAGCGGACCCGUGCGUCCGGGUUUCAUGUGUUCACUCUUCACCCCUUGAUAAAACUACAGACCUUUGCUUCGGCAGCACCGCACGCGGGCACUGACCGCCGUCGGGUAAGGCUGCCAGAGGCUCAUACCAAAACAUGUUGAUGAAAUGUCAUGCUGUCUGAUAAACCAUUGCUUUGAGAAAUCAAAUCAUAUUAAAACUUUCAGCAACGGAUCUCUUGGUUCCCGCAUCGAUGAAGAACGCAGC
rnacentral:misc_RNA from 1 species